rnacentral:lncRNA from 1 species
GGUGAUAUAAUGAGAGAUUGUAGCAAUAGUUUCACGCAGAGACCGAGCAACAUACCCUCGUGGUAUAUGUGAAAAUUAUGUUCCUAUAUUUAAUCAUUGGCAGAUCAAAUAAUUUUGAUAGAGUUGGAUAUACAAAGUCAUCAACAGAUUUUACAUUCUAAAUCUAAAUAUAAAUCGCAACAUAUAUUGUGUAUAAUUCAAGUCAUUCCAUGACUUGAAACAGUCAAGUUGAUUGUGGUACAACUGACUAAGUGAGUAUCUUCCGUAGAAGGAUUACUC